UACAGGGGGUGCAAACGUUGCUCGGAAUCAUUGGGCGUAAAGCGCACGUAGGCGGUCUGUUAUGUCGGAUGUGAAAGCCCUUGGCUUAACCGAGGAAGUGCAUCCGAAACUGGCGAGCUAGAGUACGAAAGAGGAUCGCGGAAUUCCCGGUGUAGAGGUGAAAAUUCGUAGAUAUCGGGAGGAACACCGGUGGCGAAGGCGGCGAUCUGGGUCGAUACUGACGCUGAGGUGCGAAAGCGUGGGGGAGCAAACAGG
rnacentral:rRNA from 1 species